rnacentral:lncRNA from 1 species
GUCUCGCGUGUUCAUGCGCGGUUGGCAGUAAUUUUAAUUUACCGGAAUCUCGUUUCGCUAUCAUACCGUGGCUUAUCUACGGUCAUAAAUCCUCGCUCCGUAAUUCUCGUAAUGUUUAUUUGUUUUUUUUUUUUUUCUUUCCGAAAACCAUUUCGUUUUAAUAUUAUAACCGGUAACGGUACGGACAACACGCGCGUGUAACGUCGCGGACGCGGUUUCUCCCGUCAGCGUCCUGGAUCGACCGGACCCUCGGUUCGACAGUCAAUGCCUACCGACCGGAUCCAACUCGGCGGUGUACCGAUACGCGCGGUUCUCGGUGCGUGCGCCUGGGAACAUUUGAACAAAGUACGUUCGUUUUGUUGUCGUGAUCGGUGUUCGGGGACCAACGGGCCGCGGCACCCGUCGGCCGAUAAACCGGCGCGUUGGAUAAAUCGCGUUCGGAGCCUAUUUAAUAACGGAAAUAAUCGCUCGGAAAACUAUCAGAUAGAAAAAAAAAAAAACAAACAAACAAAACGCUUUCAUCCUAUUUCACUCGUAACAUAACGCAUACAUUUCCACGGCACUCUACCGGAUUCGUUGUGAAAUCCAAACAAAGCGCUACGAGACCCGAACCCGAGCCGUGAUCAAAACACAAACGCGUAUAAUCGUUAGGUUCAGAUUUCAAUUUUAACGAACAUCGUUUAUCGAUAUUAUCUGACACCCGUUUGAUAGGAUUGAACAUUGGGGUGAAUCGAAAAGAGUUUUUCUCACUCCAAAUCAUUUUUCUUCUGCAAUACGAUUACGAGUUUGGUUUUCGAUCGGGAUGUUUUGUGUCAAUUAAUAUUAUACCGUUGUGGGAUACCUAUAUUUAAGAAGCGUUUUUAUAAUUACUCAUUCAAAUGUUAAUCACAUUAAUUUAUAAUUGUGUUCACAGUUUUUAACAACAAAAAAUUAAGAAAUAUACGUUAUGAAAAUGAAAAAAAAAAAAAUUGAAUGUUCUUCGACAAAUAAAAAAGUAAGUAAAUACACUAAUGUAAGUAAGUGGGUAACUAUAAAAUAUUAAUAUCCAUGCAUAUGACCCAGUAUAAGUAUAAAUAUUUUAAAAUUUGUAAUGAUAAUAUUUAAUUAGUUUUUUUUUUAACUCUGGAUCUCGUUUCGUUGAUUUUGUUCGUGCCCAUAUUUCACAUGUGUACAGUAAGUAGUAAGUAGUAUAAGUCUUAUGAGUACUUCGUAGUAUAGACUUAUUUUCGUCUUUUGUAACAGUAAUUCAAUUUUGACUUAAAUAACGAUUAGAAUUGGGAUUUUUGUUUUUUAAUAAUUCUCCUAUUGAAUAGAAAUUUAUUUCAAAACGUUAUUGUUACAAAUAUUCAACUUUAAUUUUGUAAGUUUUCCGGUUUUUUUUUUUUGUUUAUAAGUCCAUAGUUUGGCUUUUUUCUGUUUUUAAUCAUAUUUUUUACGAUAAAAACUUAAUAAUAAUAGAUAUUUAUAAAUAAAUUAGAUUCUAUAUUUAUUUGAAAUUUUACUUUUGUUAUUUUUAUAUCUAUAUUUUGACCAUUUUUCGUGUAAAUUUAGCUAUUUUUUAGUGCACCAUUCCAACCGUAAUAAUGACACAAGUUCAGCUGUUUUUCCCUGGUAAAACUCCUGAUGGCUAUAUGCUUGUUGGUUAAUGUUUACUCCUAGGUAUUUUAGUAUUAUUCAAUAAUAACAGAUUAUAUAAAACACUUUUGUUGUAAAAAAAUUGACAUAAAGCGUAUAUAAGUUUUAUUUACGAAACUACUAAGUUUCAGCUUGUGCUAAUAAAUUUCCUAUUCUUUUAAGUACUGGACUAAUCAAAUUAUUUUGGUCAACUGACAUUAAAAACUUUUUAUUACAAAAUAUUAUUAUUUAUUAUAUUGUCUAAAAAGGCAUAUUUUUAAUUGUUAUUCUAGAUUUAAUGAGCAAAUUCCAUACAAGAAAAUAUACGAAACAACUACUGAUAACAUCGUAUCUACAGGAAGAAAAUACAAUAAUACAAAUGGAGUGAGUAAUUAAAACAUUACCUUGCUAAUUUUAUCAAUUUUAAUUUUUAGUUUGUACAAUUUAUUUAUCUGUGCAUUGCCAUCAAUGUUGAAUGGUUACAAUUAAUUUGAAACAUUUCCAAAAAAUAAUAAUUGUUUUGAUUAUUAUUCUAGACCUAACGAGGGAACAAAACUAUAAGAGAAAUUACUAAUGACACCACGUCUUAUGAGAUUUAUGAACUAUAUCAAGUACAACAAAUUGAGUAAGUUAUUUGGACAUCACUUUGCACUUGUGAACAUACUACUAAUUAAUUAU